CAGCCGCCACGGGAAUACGAAGGGGGCUAGCGUUGCUCGGAAUUACUGGGCGUAAAGGGAGCGUAGGCGGACAUUUAAGUCAGGGGUGAAAUCCCAGAGCUCAACUCUGGAACUGCCUUUGAUACUGGGUGUAUUGAGUGUGAUAGAGGUGUGUGGAACUCCGAAUGUAGAGGUGAAAUUCGUAGAUAUUCGGAAGAACACCAGUGGCGAAGGCGACAUACUGGAUCAUUACUGACGCUGAGGCUCGAAAGCGUGGGGAGCAAACAGGAUUAGAUACCCGAGUAGUCCCUGUCUCUUAUAC
rnacentral:rRNA from 1 species